rnacentral:lncRNA from 1 species
AAAUGCCUAAUAAGAGCGAUUGAUAACCAAGAAAUAUCAAAUCUACUCUUUUAUCUCAUAAGUACAUACUCCUAAAUGAAAAACCUAAUACUUAAUAUUUAGCUAAAAUAAAAAUUUCCUUGAAACAUCUAGCUUUUCUUGUAGAAACUUCUUGCGCUUGAGGAACACGAUGUUUCAUUGUCAUCCAAUGGGCGUCACCUAUAUAUAAGAAAAUACAUAUCAUUCCAAGUUUGAAAAGUAUUAUAAUGGAAUAGCUUAUGAAAUAAUAUUAAAUUACUUACCAAAUCGCAUGGCCAUGCAACCAUUUCACCAAGUGUGUCUCCAAGUGUUUGACAAAAACCAUAAGGUCGAAUCAGUCACUCUUUGGAUUCAAGUACUACUUUAACUUGUACUUGACACCAAUUCUCUCGUAAUACUUGUCUUCCAACUUGUGCAUUUGGAUUAGUGCUAUGGACACAUACUUUAGCCACAAUUUUUUCUUGAUGAGAUACACUUUUAAGAGCAACAUGAACUCUGACCAACAAAUAUUUUGCAAAAUAUUAAUAUAAAAUAUACAAAUAUAGAAAGUAAGCACAUGUAAUAAUUUUCUUUCCCCAUGGAAACUAGGGAUAAAAGAGAAAAUAUUAAGAACAUUUUUGCUUUUAUACUCUCAUGCAUAUAUCUUAAUUUCCCUUGUUUGAUGAAACUAAAUUUAGUCAACUGAGAUUCUUUGCACAACUCACAUCUUUAUUUGCUUAAACUCAUAUGACAGAAUAGAAUCCAAUUUCACUUCAUAUAUAUCAGCUGUAGUAUUUGUUAAUCUGAUAAAGACAUUAAAUCACCUAACUAUCAUAUGUCAAUUCUCAUGAUUUGACAUAAUUAUAACUAUCUUCAUUAUUUAUAAUCCCACCACUUCAAAUACUACUUUAAUUAUCAUUUAAUAAGCAAUAUUUGACAUUUCUAGGUAUAAUUAUAUGAAAAAUAGAAUUCAGUCUAUCGAAGUAAUGAACUGAAUUAUAUUUGCUUAAACUCAUAUGACAGAAUCCAAUUUCACUUCAUAUAUAUCAGCUGUAGUACAUAUAAACUUAUUUAAUGCUCAUAACCAUGUCGAACAUCACAUAUCCCUUGAUUUAACUAUCCUUCAUAACAUAUUUCCUUGUACUAAAAUAAUAAUAACCUCCAAUAAUCCAUGAAAUCUGAAAGAAGCAAAAAAACAGGAACCUCCAUAAUCCAUAAAAUUUGAAAGAAGCAGAAAAAAAGGGAAAUGGAACAGCUCUAUAAAUUUGAGCAACUUAGGUAGAAUAUGUAGAAUCAAAACCAGAGGCAAGGUAAGAGAAAGUUAAGCGGAGCAGUCAACAACAUGAAUUCAACCAUCGUCACCAUUUUGAUCAACCACUCAAAAUUGCUAUUCCCACGCCCCACACUAAACUACAAGAUUAAUUGUACUAAUAUUUCGAAAAGAAAUAUUACUAAUUCAUUUAAACGCAUAUCACAUAGUAAAGUAACAUAUCACAUAUUACAAUAGAGGUACAUACUAAAGUAUAGGUUAAUGAAAAAGGACAAGUACCUGAAGAUGUUGGUUUGAGGAUGAAAUCAUCCUUGGCAGAUUAGAGCUUUGAGAUUAUCUUGUACAGCCCCACUUGAGUUCUAGUUGUCGUAGCUAAAAGAUAAAACCAUAUAUAAUUAUUUAAUAAGAGAAAUAACAUAGCAUAUAACAUAUAUUGUGGUGAUGCAUAAUCUUACGAUGUGGCUGGUGCACUUGCUCAUCUGACAAGCUAAAAGUAGUCUGUUUGCGCUUUCGAUUUUUAGUAAUCAUACCUGCAAGUGCAAGUAAUCUGUUUAAGCAAAGUUUCUCAUUCUGACUUGAAUGCUUGAAUGAUUUUCCUUGCAAUUCUCGGGCUUUAACAUUGAUUAAACUUCAUUAAGCCCCAUUAGUGGGCUUGACUCGAUAUGUUUAAACAAUAAAAUUGAAAGGGCUUGACUCGAUGCCAUAAAGAAGAGCACAACCAAAGGGAUAAUAUGUUUAAACAAUAAAAUUGAAAGGGUUUGACUCGAUGCCAUAAAGAAGAGCACAACCCAAGGGAUAAUAUGUUUAAACAAUAAAAUUGAAAGGGCUUCACUCGAUGCCAGAAAGAAGAGCACAACCAAAUGGACAAUAUAUUGAUAGAAUACACACGUAGCACAUACUAUAAUACAAACCUGAAACAAAAAGUUCUAUGAAAAAUAUCAUAUCCGCAAUGAAACUCCAUACACAACCUUACUCUUCAGAUCAAGAAUUCACUGAAUUUAAAUGUGCAGAUAAGCCUGCCCUAUUCACUUUUCUCACAAGAAUUAGGAGAUUAGCAAACUUCCCAAGCAAUCAAAUAUAACGUACAUUCUGGAAUGAAAAACACAUCUAUCCCAACUAAGAAGAUAGGCUAGCUAUAAAAAUGUCGCCGACAUUCGUUCGACGUUCAUAACUCCCAAAAAAACCAUGGUACUGAAAAUAACAAAUUAGAAAUAUCAGAUGUUCAAUCCAAAUUGUAGAAAUAAGAGUAAUAAAAGCAUGUCAAAGACUAACCUCACUGGAGCCUACGAAUUUACGCUGGAAUAGAUGGCUAAGAGGAAGAAUAAGGACAAUUCAAAAUCGUUGGGGAAAUAGAAGAGUAAAAAUCCAUCAAAUUCCUACCUCACCGGUACCUUUAGAUACACGAACAAAAUUGAUGGCUGCAAAAAAGAAGAUAGCAAUUCAAAACCUAAUUGAUUGAACUCAUAUCAGAAUUUUAUUAUAGAGCAGACAAAUUUAGUCGUGUAAGUUUCUCACCUUCCGGGUGGCUUCAGAUUGGCAACGACUUCAGACGUGAACCACUGAAAUUCUGAUUGAGGAAGAAAGAGGAACGAGGGCUUUUUCGAUUUCUAAUUUUUGAUAAUCGUCUACACAUUUAUAUUGCCGCGAAGCUUUUACCGGGAGAAGGGAAAUAUAUUUUUGUUUGAAUUUUCUUUUCCCAAUAUCUUAAACAUAGUGCUACUGUACGGAGGCAAAUUAGGGGGAAAUGCACUUGUGUUUUGGCAAAAGAAAGAUGGGGAG